ACCCCUGCUCUACACCGCAAUCUAUAKACUCAGCACGACACCAACCCARCCACAUCUUACCACAUACCAAUUCAGCGCAGAACCAACCCACCCAUCAGCCUUCUGGUUGCUCACCACCAAAUCUCAGCACUAACCCACCAGAUCGACCAACAAAUCUUCCCACAUACCAACUGGAUCUAGGCCUGUUAACAAAGUCACAGAUGGCAGUGCUAGCCUUUUAUGUGUCCAACGGUCCCUCCACAACCCUGUGGUUGCAUAUUCCAUCGUCAUCUGAGCAAACUUUUCUUUGAUGUUGUAUUCAGGUACUAAUAUACACUGUAUUUAUGUGAGCAUACAUGUUUUCUGACAAUGUGUUGUUCUUGGUAGGAGCGUGUGCGCAAUCAUAAGUACAGGAGUGUGGGAGAUCUGGAGAAAGACAUCAUACUGCUGUGUCACAACGCCCAGACCUUCAACCUGGAGGGAUCUCAGAUAUUUGAGGACUCAAUUGUUCUCAAGUCUGUGUUUGAGAGUGCACGGCAAAGGAUUGUCAUUGACGAUGAGGUGAAACUGGACAGCACUGCCAUCCGUGAAGAUGACAGAGGUCGAGACAYUCAGUUGGUUUCAUCAGCAGUGAAAAUGGCAACAAAGCAGGGGAAACAGAGGAUGAAGGAGGAGAGAAGCAGAAAGACGAAGGUCAAGAAGACAGUCUACAGUGAUGUAGACAGCGAUGAGGAUCUGGAGGACAAUACAGCUAAAGAUGAGGCUUGACCUGGAGGACCAACGCUAGUUCAUUUAUCCUCCUUAUCCUCUUUCUUCCUAUCCACUGUGACUGUUUUUGCGUCGCAGCUCAUUCAUUUGCUCACCUUGCAAAAGGUUUGUCUCAUCUCAAGUCAAGAAAGCCACUCGAAGGAAUGCACAUAACUAAUUAUGUUGGUCCUCAAGUAAUUAAUGCAGCCUCAAAUAUUCAUGUCCUUUUACUAUUAUUUGAGCUUUUUUUUUUAUGAUGUUGCUCCCUCGGUCUUCAUGUGAAAGCUGCUGUGUGUAUCCUUAAUGCUUUACCAGAGGAUAUCUCUCCACUCUUUUUCCAUUAGUUUUUUAUUUUAUUUGAACGUGUUAUUACUGUAUGUGUGAAAUUAGAAUGUAUUUCUGCUGAGACGGAGACCACCCUCAGAGAGUGGCACCUGUUGAUAACAUCUCUAUGUGUUGUGUACAGGUAUGGGAGAUGUCAGAACAUGGUUGGUCAGUUCUUCAAUAUGACCAGGAUGCACACUACUGGAUUGUUUCAAAUCUCAAAAUGUGUGGAUUUAAAAUUGAAAUUUGAUUCUGUAAUAAAACUCCAAAUAGGAGAAGUGUAUUUGAACYAUAUUGUGUAUUCUGAACGACCUGACCACCAACAUUGUUUUCAAAGUUAAUAAGCAGUUAUAAACAGAUAAAGUUGUAUCACUUCAGGUGUACGUUUUAUACUUUA